CCUACGGGAGGCAGCAGUGAGGAAUAUUGGUCAAUGGACGAGAGUCUGAACCAGCCAAGUAGCGUGAAGGAUGACUGCCCUAUGGGUUGUAAACUUCUUUUAUAAAGGAAUAAAACGAGGCACGUGUGCCUUUUUGCAUGUACUUUAUGAAUAAGGAUCGGCUAACUCCGUGCCAGCAGCCGCGGUAAUACGGAGGAUCCGAGCGUUAUCCGGAUUUAUUGGGUUUAAAGGGAGCGUAGAUGGGUUGUUAAGUCAGUUGUGAAAGUUUGCGGCUCAACCGUAAAAUUGCAAUUGAUACUGGCAGUCUUGAGUACAGUUGAGGGAGGCGGAAUUCGUGGUGUAGCAGUGAAAUGCUUAGAUAUCACGAAGAACCCAGAUUGCGAAGGCAGCUUACUAAACUGUGACUGACAUUGAUGCUCGAAAGUGUGGGUAUCAAACAGGAUUAGAUACCCUGGUAGUC
rnacentral:rRNA from 1 species